UAGGGAAUAUUCCGCAAUGGGCGAAAGCCUGACGGAGCAACGCCGCGUGAGUGACGAAGGCUUUAGGGUCGUAAAGCUCUGUUGCAGGGGAAAAAGCAAGUGAUUGUACCCUGCGAGAAAGGACCGGCAAACUUCGUGCCAGCAGCCGCGGUAAUACGAGGGGUCCUAGCGUUGUUCGGAAUCAUUGGGCGUAGAGAGCACGUAGGUAGUCUAGUAAGUCAGGUGUGAAAUCCCAGGGCUUAACCCUGGAAGUGCACUUGAAACUGCAUGACUUGAGUACGGAAGAGGUAAGCGGAAUUCCUGGUGUAGUGGUGAAAUACGUAGAUAUCAGGAGGAACAUCGGUGGCGAAGGCGGCUUACUGGUCCUGUACUGACACUGAGGUGCGAAAGCAUGGGGAUCAAACAG
rnacentral:rRNA from 1 species